rnacentral:pre_miRNA from 1 species
ACAGACGACUUGGGCUCAGGUAUGUCUGCGGUGAGGCUGGUACAACUCGGCAGGUUUCACUGUAGAUCUACCUGCGCUCACG